rnacentral:rRNA from 1 species
UACGAAGGGGGCUAGCGUUGCUCGGAAUCACUGGACGUAAAGGGUGCGUAGGCGGGUUUUUAAGUCAGAGGUGAAAUCCUGGAGCUCAACUCCAGAACUGCCUUUGAUACUGAAAGUCUUGAGUAUGGGAGAGGUGAGUGGAACUGCGAGUGUAGAGGUGAAAUUCGUAGAUAUUCGCAAGAACACCAGUGGCGAAGGCGGCUCACUGGCCCAUAACUGACGCUGAGGCACGAAAGCGUGGGGAGCAAACAGG